UACAGAGGGGGCAAGCGUUGUUCGGAAUUACUGGGCGUAAAGCGUGCGCAGGCGGUGAUGUAAGACAGAUGUGAAAUCCCCGGGCUCAACCCGGGAACUGCGUCCGAUACUGGAAGGCUUGAAUCCGGGAGAGGGAGUGUGGAAUUCCAGGUGUAGCGGUGAAAUGCGUAGAUAUCUGGAGGAACACCGGUGGCGAAGGCGACAUCCUGGACCGGUAUUGACGCUGAGGCGCGAAAGCCAGGGGAGCAAAGCGGG
rnacentral:rRNA from 1 species